rnacentral:sRNA from 1 species
GGAUACGCUUUGUGUAGCGGCUAUGGGCGCUGUCUUACAACAAAGCCAAGGAAUCUCGCUGCUGAGGGCAGUUCUGUGCUUUAUUAUGAAGAAUAAUGGACGAUGAUGAUGCAAAGCUCAAAGCAGAAAUAGAAGCUGAAUUGGAUAAACUCAGCAUUUCCUCCUUGGAAAAAGAAGACAUUGAGAGUGAUGCAAAAUCAGAAACCCAGAGUGAUGACAGUGAUACAGAUUCAGUUGAAUUACCAGAAUCAGUUCUUCACUGUAUUAACAUCAUAAAGAACAGGAGUAAAGCUGUUGAAGAGCUCAUUCUUCAGGACCUGGAAGAUACUGAUAUUUUAAGCUGUAGUUAUGGAGCAGUUUCUAAUAAUCAUAUGCAUUUAAGAACAGGACUAUCAACUGAAUAUGAAGAAAGUUCAGAGCAAUUAAUUAAGAUAUUAUCUGAAAUAGAAAAAGAAGAAUUUAUGAGAAGUAAAACCGAUUGUGCCAGUCCUGAUUUUGUUCCUGAGCCUAGUCCUCAUGACUUGCCUAUGGAUGAACAUGUUUUACCAGAUGAUGCUGAUAUAAAUUUUGGAUACUGUGAAGUGGAAGAAAAAUGUAGACAGUCUUUUGAGGCUUGGCAAGAGAAACAGAAGGAAUUAGAAGAUAAAGAGAAACAAACUCUCAAAGCUCAGAGGGAUAGAGAAGAAAAACAAUUUCAAGAAGAAGAAGAAAAGCGACAUUGCUGGAUGAAACAAUUUAAAGUUGAAAAGAAGAAAUUAGAGAACAUUCAGAAGGUAUUUUGCUUUUGUUUUUCAUGUAUUUUUAAAAUCAGUAGCUACCUCUGAAGAAUAUUGAUAUUUGGAUUGUGUUGCAGAUUGAGCUUAAUAGUAUGACUUUUAAUUACUCUCUGAUAGAGGAAGAAAUUGACUGUGAAUUAACAGUAUUUAAUAUGAGGUCCUUGAUUAGUUUUUAUUGAAAUUCAUUGGAAGGUCAGACACACUUCUGAUCUUGGGGGCCAAUGGAGUCUAUGAAUUUCAGGGGUCAUCGUGGAUAGCCUGAAAUUUACAAUAUAAAUUGUUGUUUUUCUUUAUAUGCUUCGAAACAUUGGAAAAAGCAAUGAAAAAUUCUUGAGUAUGCAUUAACCUUGCUCUGUGGUCUGGCAUAUGACAUGUAAAACAUAUUUAAAAGUAGUUCAACCAUUUAGAGACAGUCUGCGCCCCACCUUCAUAAUUGAGCUACUUCCUUGAACUGGAAACUUUUUGGUGUGAAGUUUUGUACUGUUUUCAUUUCUGUCGUAUGUGUUGUUGGUGUUGUUUUCCCCCUAGGAGAUCCACACAAUCAGAUCAUAGUGGUGGUAUAUCGGUAUUGAGAAACUGGUGGAUUUUAGGACACCACUUGCAGGUCAUGAGAACCUUAGAAUAUUUGGAUAACAGGCAUGACUGACUUCUCUAUCUUUCAUGAUUAAAGUUGAUUUAUACAUUAUCCAGAACUUGCUGGGUUUGAGUGUUGCAUAUAAAGAACAUUAGCUUGUUCAACAUUUUUUAAUCCUCCAUGUUGAGGACAUUUCAUUUCUUGACUGUGUAGAAAAUAAACACAUUAAAGGCUGGGCGCGGUGGCUCACGCCUGUAAUCCCAGCACUUUGGGAGGCCGAGACGGGUGUAUAACGAGGUCAGGAGAUCGAGAUCAUCCUGGCUAACACGGUGAAACCCCGUCUCUACUAAAAAUACAGAAAAUUAGCCGGGCAUAGUGGCGGGCGCCUCUAGUCCCAGCUACUCGGGAGGCUGAGGCAGGAGAAUGGCGUGAACCCGGGAGGCAGACCUUGCAGUGAGCCAAGAUCGUGCCACUGCACUCCAGCCUGGGCGACAGAGCAAGACUCCGUCUCAAAAAAAAAAAAAAGAAAGAAAGAAGAAAAAA